rnacentral:rRNA from 1 species
UCUGAAUCUGCGAACGGCUCCGCAAACCAGUUGUUGGCUAUUACAGGAAAGACUCGGGAACGGGAACUUCAUUGAUCCCGAUCCCUUGGCUGCCAUGGAUAAUCGCGGUAAUUCUGAGACUAAUACAAGAACGUACCACCUAACCGACCGGGUAACUGGGAGGUUGGGGGUCGUGUGGGCUUAAGCUGCAAUCGAUCGAAUGAAUACACACACGAUCAAACCACCAUAAACAACGAUCGUGAGCUCCAGUCUUACUACCCGCAAGGGGAAAAGCGUGGCUCUCGUUCGGGUGGGCCCAGUAAUGCGCUUCUGACCUAUCAACUAUAAUGCGAUUCCAUGGACUGCGAUGGUCACAAC